GCCCUAACUCAGAGGUAGAGCAUCUGCUUUGCAUGCAGAAGGUCUGAGGUUCAACCCCUAGUAUUUGCAGGUAGGGCU